UAACCCCUGUGAUGCCCAGCACUGGGCUCUGACCACCCCUGAGGAUGCUGUGCUCCCUGGGACUUUUGACACCCGGGGAUCUGAGGGGCCC